UAGCCUUGACAUUGAUUGAAUACCCUAGAGAUAGAGUAGUGCCCUUCGGGGAGCAUGAAAACAGGUGCUGCACGGCUGUCGUCAGCUCGUGUCGUGAGAUGUUGGGUUAAGUCCCGCAACGAGCGCAACCCUCGUCCUUAGUUGCCAGCAGGUUAUGCUGGGCACUCUAAGGAGACUGCCUUCGCAAGGAGGAGGAAGGUGAGGACGACGUCAAGUCAUCAUGGCCCUUAUGGCUAGGGCUACACACGUGCUACAAUGGGGCGUACAGAGAGUUGCGAUACCGCGAGGUGGAGCCAAUCUCAUAAAGCGUCUCUCAGUUCGGAUAGAAGUCUGCAACUCGACUUCAUGAAGCUGGAAUCACUAGUAAUCGUAGAUCAGCAAUGCUACGGUGAAUACGUUCCCGGGUCU
rnacentral:rRNA from 1 species